rnacentral:rRNA from 1 species
CCUACGGGAGGCAGCAGUGAGGAAUAUUGGACAAUGGGCGCAAGCCUGAUCCAGCCAUGCCGCGUGCAGGAUGACGGUCCUAUGGAUUGUAAACUGCUUUUAUACAGGAAGAAACACCCCGACGUGUCGGGACUUGACGGUACUGUAAGAAUAAGGAUCGGCUAACUCCGUGCCAGCAGCCGCGGUAAUACGGAGGAUCCAAGCGUUAUCCGGAAUCAUUGGGUUUAAAGGGUCCGUAGGCGGUUAGAUAAGUCAGUGGUGAAAGCCCAUCGCUCAACGGUGGAACGGCCAUUGAUACUGUUUAACUUGAAUUAUUAGGAAGUAACUAGAAUAUGUAGUGUAGCGGUGAAAUGCUUAGAGAUUACAUGGAAUACCAAUUGCGAAGGCAGGUUACUACUAAUGGAUUGACGCUGAUGGACGAAAGCGUGGGUAGCGAACAGGAUUUAGAUACCCCUGGUAGUCCACGCCGUAAACGAUAGAUAUANCUGUUGGUAGANAAUUACUAGUGGNGUAAGACGAAGUAGAUAAGUAAUACCACCUACGGGAGGUACGUUACGUCGAAGAAGUAGAAACGUAACGAAAGAAAGUUAGACGGACGUGAGACGUAGACCGAACGGACGACGAACGAAGGGGAAGGUUAGGGAG